GAUGAACGCUAGCUACAGGCUUAACACAUGCAAGUCGCAGGGUAACAUGAGGAAAGCUUGCUUUCCUUGAUGACGACUGGCGCACGGGUGAGUAACGCGUAUCCAACCUUCCCAUAACUACGGGAUAACCCGUUGAAAGACGGCCUAAUACCGUAUGAUAUCGUUUGCUGACAUCAAAUAACGAUUAAAGGUUUAGCGGUUAUGGAUGGGGAUGCGUCAGUUUAUCUUGUUGGGGGGGAAUCGCCCCACCAAGGGGACAAUAAGUAGGGGUUCUGAGAGGAAGGUACCCCACAAUGGAACUGAGACACGGUCCAAACUCCUACGGGAGGCAGCAGUGAGGACUAUUGGUCAAUGAGCGAGAGCCUGAACCAGCCAAGUAGCGUGCAGGAGGACGGCCCUAGGGGUUGUAAACUGCUUUUAUGUGGGGAUAAAGUGCGUGACGUGUCAUGCAUUGCAGGUACCAAAUGAAAAAGGACCGGCUAAUUCCGUG
rnacentral:rRNA from 1 species